AGGGUUUGAUUAUGGCUCAGGAUGAACGCUGGCGGCGUGCUUAACACAUGCAAGUCGAACGAAGCAUUUAGGAUUGAAGUUUUCGGAUGGAUUUCCUAUAUGACUGAGUGGCGGACGGGUGAGUAACACGUGGGUAACCUGCCCUUAAGUGGGGGAUAACAUUUGGAAACAGAUGCUAAUACCGCAUAGAUCCAAGAACCGCAUGGUUCUUGGCUGAAAGAUGGCGUAAGCUAUCGCUUUUGGAUGGACCCGCGGCGUAUUAGCUAGUUGGUGAGGUAAUGGCUCACCAAGGCGAUGAUACGUAGCCGAACUGAGAGGUUGAUCGGCCACAUUGGGACUGAGACACGGCCCAA
rnacentral:rRNA from 1 species